rnacentral:rRNA from 1 species
UACGUAGGGGGCAAGCGUUAUCCGGAUUUACUGGGUGUAAAGGGAGCGUAGACGGCUAAUCAAGUCAGAAGUGAAAACCCAGGGCUCAACCUUGGGACUGCUUUUGAAACUGAGUAGCUAGAGUGCAGGAGAGGUAAGCGGAAUUCCUAGUGUAGCGGUGAAAUGCGUAGAUAUUAGGAGGAACACCAGUGGCGAAGGCGGCUUACUGGACUGUAACUGACGUUGAGGCUCGAAAGCGUGGGGAGCAAACAGG